rnacentral:rRNA from 1 species
ACGAACUCUGGUAUUGAUUGGUGCUUGCAUCAUGAUUUACAUUUGAGUGAGUGGCGAACUGGUGAGUAACACGUGGGAAACCUGCCCAGAAGCGGGGGAUAACACCUGGAAACAGAUGCUAAUACCGCAUAACAACUUGGACCGCAUGGUCCGAGUUUGAAAGAUGGCUUCGGCUAUCACUUUUGGAUGGUCCCGCGGCGUAUUAGCUAGAUGGUGGGGUAACGGCUCACCAUGGCAAUGAUACGUAGCCGACCUGAGAGGGUAAUCGGCCACAUUGGGACUGAGACACGGCCCAAACUCCUACGGGAGGCAGCAGUAGGGAAUCUUCCACAAUGGACGAAAGUCUGAUGGAGCAACGCCGCGUGAGUGAAGAAGGGUUUCGGCUCGUAAAACUCUGUUGUUAAAGAAGAACAUAUCUGAGAGUAACUGUUCAGGUAUUGACGGUAUUUAACCAGAAAGCCACGGCUAACUACGUGCCAGCAGCCGCGGUAAUACGUAGGUGGCAAGCGUUGUCCGGAUUUAUUGGGCGUAAAGCGAGCGCAGGCGGUUUUUUAAGUCUGAUGUGAAAGCCUUCGGCUCAACCGAAGAAGUGCAUCGGAAACUGGGAAACUUGAGUGCAGAAGAGGACAGUGGAACUCCAUGUGUAGCGGUGAAAUGCGUAGAUAUAUGGAAGAACACCAGUGGCGAAGGCGGCUGUCUGGUCUGUAACUGACGCUGAGGCUCGAAAGUAUGGGUAGCAAACAGGAUUAGAUACCCUGGUAGUCCAUACCGUAAACGAUGAAUGCUAAGUGUUGGAGGGUUUCCGCCCUUCAGUGCUGCAGCUAACGCAUUAAGCAUUCCGCCUGGGGAGUACGGCCGCAAGGCUGAAACUCAAAGGAAUUGACGGGGGCCCGCACAAGCGGUGGAGCAUGUGGUUUAAUUCGAAGCUACGCGAAGAACCUUACCAGGUCUUGACAUACUAUGCAAAUCUAAGAGAUUAGACGUUCCCUUCGGGGACAUGGAUACAGGUGGUGCAUGGUUGUCGUCAGCUCGUGUCGUGAGAUGUUGGGUUAAGUCCCGCAACGAGCGCAACCCUUAUUAUCAGUUGCCAGCAUUAAGUUGGGCACUCUGGUGAGACUGCCGGUGACAAACCGGAGGAAGGUGGGGAUGACGUCAAAUCAUCAUGCCCCUUAUGACCUGGGCUACACACGUGCUACAAUGGAUGGUACAACGAGUUGCGAACUCGCGAGAGUAAGCUAAUCUCUUAAAGCCAUUCUCAGUUCGGAUUGUAGGCUGCAACUCGCCUACAUGAAGUCGGAAUCGCUAGUAAUCGCGGAUCAGCAUGCCGCGGUGAAUACGUUCCCGGGCCUUGUACACACCGCCCGUCACACCAUGAGAGUUUGUAACACCCAAAGUCGGUGGGGUAACC